UACGAAGGGGGCUAGCGUUGCUCGGAUUGACCGGGCGUAAAGGGCGCGUAGGCGGAUAGUACAGUCAGGCGUGAAAUUCCUGGGCUCAACCUGGGGGCUGCGUUUGAUACGUAUUGUCUGGAGUUCGGAAGAGGGUCGUGGAAUUCCCAGUGUAGAGGUGAAAUUCGUAGAUAUUGGGAAGAACACCGGUGGCGAAGGCGGCGACCUGGUCCGAUACUGACGCUGAGGCGCGAAAGCGUGGGGAGCAAACAGG
rnacentral:rRNA from 1 species